rnacentral:rRNA from 1 species
AUGGAGGCCGAGGACUACGCGGCCGGGUGCUGCUUCUCCCUCAUGUGCCAAGAGGACGGCGCCGACCUCGGCGACGGCUUCGCCGACGACGACGGCGGCAAGCUGCUGUUGAUGUGCAGCGCCGGCGACGACAACGACGGCGAGGAAGACGAGGAGGGGUACAUGGACCACCUGGUGUCCAAGGAGAGCAGCUUCUGCUCCGCCGAUCCGUCGCCUUCCAUGGCGUCCGAGGACUGGUUCCAGUGCGCGCGCCGCGACACCGUCCGGUGGAUCCUUGAGACGCGCGGGCACUUCGGGUUCUCCCACCGCACGGCGUACGUGGCGAUUGCCUACUUUGACCGCUUCUCCCUCCGGCGAUGCGUUGACAGGUCGGUGAUGCCGUGGGCGGCGCGGCUGUUGGCCAUCGCGUGCGUGUCGCUUGCGGCGAAGAUGGAUGAGUGCCAGGCGCCGGCGCUGUCGGAGUUCCGCGCCGACGACGACUACGAUUUCAGCUGCGACUCCAUCCGCCGCAUGGAGAUGCUCGUGCUCUCCACGCUCGACUGGCGGAUGGGCGCGGUCACGCCCUUCGACUACCUCCCCUGCCUCUCCUCCAGGCUCCGGCGAUUCAACGGCGGAGGCCGCGGAGGUGGCGGCGGCCUCAUCGCCGUCAAGGCCGCCGCCCUCAUCUUCUCCGCCGCGGAAGCCGCGAGCGUCCUCGACUACCGGCCGUCCACCGUGGCCGCCGUCGCCGUCUUGGCGGCCACCCACGGCGCGCUCACGAGGGAGCCACUGGAAUCCAAGAUCAGCAGCCUCUCCCCGACCUGCCUCCUCGAGAAGGAGGAUGUAUAUGCCUGCUACACCAUGAUGCUGCGCGAUCCAUCGUCGCCGAGCAAGACGGCCAAGAGAUCGGCGUCCGACCGGGGCGACGCCGAUAGUACAUACGCACGCCUGGACGCCGCCUCCUUCUCCGUCGCGGCGGCGAUGAACAACAACAAGAGGGUGAGGCUGGAGCUGCCGGCCGUCCACCGGUGA